UUUCGCAAUGCCCGAAAGGGUGACGAAGCGACGCCGCGUGCGGGAAGAAGGCCUUCGGGUUGUAAACCGCUGUCGGGAGUUAAGAAAUGUAAGGAUGUUAAUAGCAUCUUUGCUUGACUAAGGCUCCGGAGGAAGCCACGGCUAACUCUGUGCCAGCAGCCGCGGUAAUACAGAGGCGGCAAGCGUUGUUCGGAAUUAUUGGGCGUAAAGAGCACGUAGGCGGCUAUGUAAGUCGGUUGUGAAAGCCUUCCGCUCAACGGGAGAACAGCAUCCGAUACUGCAUGGCUUGAGUGCGGGAGGGGAGAGUGGAACUUCUGGUGGAGCGGUGAGAUGCGUAGAUAUCAGAAGGAACGCCGGCGGCGAAAGCGGCUCUCUGGCCCAUAACUGACGCUGAGUGUGCGAAAGCUAGGGGAGCAAACGGGAUUAGAUACCCCGGUAGUCCUAGCCGUAAACGAUGGGCACUAAGUAGAGGGGUUUUAAUCUC
rnacentral:rRNA from 1 species